rnacentral:rRNA from 1 species
UGUGACAUACCUAUACGUUGCCUCGGCGGAUCAGCCCGCGCCCUGUAAAAAGGGACGGCCCGCCCGAGGACCCUAAACUCUGUUUUUAGUGGAACUUCUGAGUAAAACAAACAAAUAAAUCAAAACUUUCAACAACGGAUCUCUUGGUUCUGGCAUCGAUGAAGAACGCAGCAAAAUGCGAUAAGUAAUGUGAAUUGCAGAAUUCAGUGAAUCAUCGAAUCUUUGAACGCACAUUGCGCCCGCCAGUAUUCUGGCGGGCAUGCCUGUUCGAGCGUCAUUUCAACCCUCAAGCUCAGCUUGGUGUUGGGACUCGCGGUAACCCGCGUUCCCCAAAUCGAUUGGCGGUCACGUCGAGCUUCCAUAGCGUAGUAAUCAUACACCUCGUUACUGGUAAUCGUCGCGGCCACGCCGUAAAACCCCAACUUCUGAAUGUUGACCUCGGAUCAGGUAGGAAUACCCGCUGAACUUAAGCAUAUCAAUAAGCGGAGGA